CUAGCCGAAUUUCGUUCUCUUCGCUCGCGUGUGCAGCUUACAUUGUCCUUGCUUGAUUUACCGUGUUUUGUCGAAUGUUGCCGCAAUGCUUAGCUUACUCUGAAUCUGAUAAAGUAACUUAAUGUAUUUGUUUUUCAGGAAGGAUGUCACUUUGAACUACAGUAAAACUACGUCUCCAGACGUGCUCACUCUGGUAGAAAACAAUGACACAGAUCACAUCUACACAGCCCAAAGCCUGUACAGUGACUUCAAAACAUGCUCCAUCUUUAAGUAUUAUGGGGAACAGGAAAAUUGCCUCAUGUGGGUGGCAAGAGGAUACGAGGAUGACGUACCCGCCAUGUGCAUUCAUGAAUUUAAUUGUGCCUGUGGUCCUGCCAUCCC